rfam:TPA: Bos taurus chromosome 13, whole genome shotgun sequence.
UCUCUAGUGGUCCAGUGGUUAGGACUUGGCAUUUUCACUGCUGAAGAUCCAGGUUCAGUCCCUGGUUGGGAAA